rnacentral:rRNA from 1 species
CUGGGACCCUAGUCGUAGCAUACGGUUACCGUACACAGGUGGUGCAUGGUUGUCGUCAGCUCGUGCCGUGAGGUGUAAGGUUAAGUCCUUGAACGAGCGCAACCCACGUGGUUAUUUGCUCUUGGUCGCAAGGCCAAGCACUAUAACCAAACCGCUACCGACGAGGUAGAGGAAGGUGUGGAUGACGUCAAAUCAUCACGCCCCUUAUGUCCAGGGCUACACACAUGCGACAAUGGUUGGAACAAUGAGUUGCAAACCAGUAAUGGCAAGCUAAUCUCCAACACCAGCCCCAGUACGGAUCGAGGGUUGAAACUCACCCUCGUGAAGAUGGAGUUGCUAGUAAACGCAAGUCAGCCAUAUUGCGUUGAAUACGUUCCCGGGCCUU